GGAGAAGCAACAUGGUCCAUACGGCGCAGGUGCCUUUUUCAUCCUGAAGCAGGGAGGCGCAGUCAAGUAUGACCGCUAAGGUUUCGAGACAAGGAGUGGAUCAGGCCAGAUAAGUAUGGCCAUUUCUCUCAGGAGUUCUGGAAUUUCUGUGAAGUGCCUGUCGAAGCUGUGGAUGCCGGUGACUGUGACAUCAACUACGAGGGCCUGGAUAACCUCCUCCGCCUGAAGGAGCUCCAGUCCUUGUCGCUGCAGCGCUGCUGCCACGUGGACGACUGGUGUCUCAGCCGCCUCUACCCACUGGCCGACUCGUUGCAGGAGCUCUCGCUGGCCGGUUGCCCCCGCAUCUCCGAACGGGGCCUCGCCUGCCUCCACCACCUCCAGUGAGACCUCAGCUCAGGCUGGGCCACAUGCCCAGGCACCUCUCCCACCUAACCCAGAUGCAGGAGAGGAAGUGGGGAGGGGCAAUGUUAGGCAGUUCUCAUAUCCCCCUGCAUCCAUCACAAACCUAGAGUAUUUAUGGUAGAUGAGCAGUCACAGUGAGUCUCUGGAAGAAUUAAAUGACUCCUGGUUUUCUUCCUUUUUGUUUUAGUCAAAACUGUGUGAUAUCGACGCUGUUGCAGAACAGCAGGAGCUGGAGUUGCAUAUUUGCAAUUAACACAGUGGGCUUCAUGUGCCUGGACAGCUAUAAAGAUUUUAUUUUAGGAAGCUAAGGUUGAAAUUUGGGGCCAGUACCUCCCUAUACACACACACAUGCACGCAUGCACGCACGCACACACACACACGCACGCACACACACUGUCCUGUAAGGUUGAAAUUUGGGGCCAGUACCUCCCUACACACACACACACACACACACACACACACACACGCACGCUGUCCUGUACCUCCCUACACACACGCACACGCUGUCUGUACCUCCCUACACACACACACACACACACACACGCUGUCCUUAUACUGGCUUAUCUCCCUAUACACACACACACACACACACACACGCUGUCCUGUACCUCCCUACACACACACACACACAUGCUGUCCUUACACUGGCUUACCUCCCUAUACACACACAC
rnacentral:lncRNA from 1 species